rnacentral:rRNA from 1 species
CAGUCGCCGCGGGAAAACGGAGGGUGCAAGCGUUAAUCGGAAUUACUGGGCGUAAAGCGCACGCAGGCGGUUUGUUAAGUCAGAUGUGAAAUCCCCGGGCUCAACCUGGGACCUGCAUUUGUGACUGUAUAGCUAGAGUACGGUAGAGGGGGAUGGAAUUCCGCGUGUAGCAGUGAAAUGUGUAGAUAUGCGGAGGAACACCGAUGGCGAAGGCAAUCCCCUGGACCUGUACUGACGCUCAUGCACGAAAGCGUGGGGAGCAAACAGGAUUAGAUACCCCCGUAGUCCCUGUCUCUUAUAC